CAGGAUUAGAUACCCUGGUAGUCCACGCAGUAAACGAUGAUCACUAGCUGUUUGCGAUACAGUGUAAGCGGCACAGCGAAAGCGUUAAGUGAUCCACCUGGGGAGUACGCCGGCAACGGUGAAACUCAAAGGAAUUGACGGGGGCCCGCACAAGCGGAGGAACAUGUGGUUUAAUUCGAUGAUACGCGAGGAACCUUACCCGGGCUUAAAUUGCAGAUGAAUUACGGUGAAAGCCGUAAGCCGCAAGGCAUCUGUGAAGGUGCUGCAUGGUUGUCGUCAGCUCGUGCCGUGAGGUGUCGGCUUAAGUGCCAUAACGAGCGCAACCCUUGCCACUAGUUACUAACAGGUAAAGCUGAGGACUCUGGUGGGACUGCCAGCGUAAGCUGCGAGGAAGGCGGGGAUGACGUCAAAUCAGCACGGCCCUUACAUCCGGGGCGACACACGUGUUACAAUGGCGUGGACAAAGGGAAGCCACCUGGCGACAGGGAGCGAAUCCCCAAACCACGUCUCAGUUCGGAUCGGAGUCUGCAACCCGACUCCGUGAAGCUGGAUUCGCUAGUAAUCGCGCAUCAGCCAUGGCGCGGUGAAUACGUUCCCGGGCCUUGUACACACCGCCCGUCAAGCCAUGGGAGCCGGGGGUACCUGAAGUGCGUAACCGCGAGGAGCGCCCUAGGGUAAAACUGGUGACUGGGGCUAAGUCGUAACAAGGUAGCCGUACCGGAAGGUGCGGCUG
rnacentral:rRNA from 1 species